UACAGAGGGUGCGAGCGUUGUCCGGAAUUACUGGGCGUAAAGAGCUCGUAGGUGGUUUGUCGCGUUGUUCGUGAAAACUCACAGCUCAACUGUGGGCGUGCGGGCGAUACGGGCAGACUUGAGUACUGCAGGGGAGACUGGAAUUCCUGGUGUAGCGGUGGAAUGCGCAGAUAUCAGGAGGAACACCGGGGGGGAAGGCGGGUCUCUGGGCCUUACCUGACGCUGAGGAGCGAAAGCGUGGGGAGCGAACAGG
rnacentral:rRNA from 1 species